CCCUUAGAUGUUCUGGGCCGCACGCGCGCUACAAUGAUUGUCUCAGCAUGUUUUGGGUGUGUAAAUACCCAGGAAUUCCGAGUAACAAUCGUGAUGGGGCUAGACCCUUGCAAUUUUUGGUCUCCAACGAGGAAUUCCUAGUAAAGGCAAGUCAUCAGCUUGCAUUGAUUACGUCCCUGCCCUUUGUACACACCGCCCGUCGCUCCUACCGAUUGAAUGAUCCGAUGAAUAUCAUGGAUUGAGGAUGCAAGCAGGUUAGCCUAUCUUCAUCUUCGAGAAGUGAAGUAAAUCUUAUCAUUUAGAGGAAGGAGAAGUCGCAACA
rnacentral:rRNA from 1 species